GACGAACGCUGGCGGCGUGCUUAACACAUGCAAGUCGAACGGAAAGGCCCUGCUUUUGUGGGGUGCUCGAGUGGCGAACGGGUGAGUAACACGUGAGUAACCUGCCCUUGACUUUGGGAUAACUUCAGGAAACUGCGGCUAAUACCGGAUAGGAGCUCCUGCUGCGUGGUGGGGGUUGGAAAGUUUCGGCGGUUGGGGAUGGACUCGCGGCUUAUCAGCUUGUUGGUGGGGUAGUGGCUUACCAAGGCUUUGACGGGUAGCCGGCCUGAGAGGGUGACCGGCCACAUGGGGACUGAGAUACGGCCCAGACUCCUACGGGAGGCAGCAGUGGGGAAUAUUGCGCAACGGGCGGAAGCCUGAUGCAGCAACGCCGCGUGCGGGAUGACGGCUUUCGGGUUGUAAACCGCUUUCGCCUGUGACGAAGCGUGAGUGACGGUAAUGGGUAAAGAAGCACCGGCUAACUACGUG
rnacentral:rRNA from 1 species